AUUCUGUUCCUUAGAAGUGAGUCACUAAGACCAUCCCACACUGAGUGGGGUAUUAGGGCUUAGGCACCACUUUUUGAAAAGAGGAAUGCUAAAUAAUUUUCAGGCUUUUUUUUUUUUUUUUUUUUUUUUUUUUUUUUGCAACAGUUUCACUCUGUUGCCCAGGCUGGAGUGCAGUGGCUUGAUCUUGGCUCUCUGCAACCUCCGCCUCCCGGGUUCAAGCGAUUCUCCUGCCUCAGCCUCCCGAGUAUCUGGGAUUACAGGCACGCACCACCACACUCGGCUAAUUUUUUUGUAUUUUUAGUAGAGACAGGGUUUCACCAUGUUGGCCAGGCUAGUCUCAAACUCCUGACCUCAAGAGAUUCACCUGCCUUGGCCUCCCAAAGUGCUGGGAUUACAGGCGUGAGCCACUGCGCCCAGCCUCAGGUUUAUUUUUUCAAUUACUAUGGGAUGUCAGAGAGGGAAAAACAAGCCAUUAGAUGGUUGCAGUCAGCAGCAGGUGGAUCGUGAAGACCUUAGCCAUUGCAAUCUGUAGAGAUCAUCCAGCCCCUCUUAGAACUUGACCAAAAUAGAAGUAAAUUAAAGUUGUACAUUGGACACCUGACA
rnacentral:sRNA from 1 species